UACGUAGGGUGCGAGCGUUAAUCGGAAUUACUGGGCGUAAAGCGUGCGCAGGCGGUGGCUCAAGUCAGAUGUGAAAUCCCUAGGCUUAACCUGGGAAUUGCAUUUGAAACUAGGUCGCUAGAGUUUGGCAGAGGGGGGUGGAAUUCCACGUGUAGCAGUGAAAUGCGUAGAGAUGUGGAGGAACACCGAUGGCGAAGGCAGCCCCCUGGGCCAAUACUGACGCUCAUGCACGAAAGCGUGGGGAGCAAACAGG
rnacentral:rRNA from 1 species